rnacentral:lncRNA from 1 species
GUACUGGAACUUGACAGUCCUCCUGUCCACCAGCCCUACCUCCACCCCAUCAUUCCCCUUCUCCCAAAGUACUACUGCUGUUGCAUAACAACCCCAAAUAUGUUCUGUCAACACAAACCUGCUUUUGGUCUAUAAACAGGGCGUUACAGAAUGGUACACCCAGUCUAUUUCUUCUCAGUAUCCAUUCGCCAGUUCUUCAUUUAUAAAUAUCGUCUUCCUCUGUUCUGCUGCUGAAUGCCACACAUCCAUCCAGUCUGAGAAAGUAAGAUAGGGAAUCCUGCCGAGGAACAAGCCAGCAAAGCUCUUUCACUGGAUGUAGACUGCACCUGCUGCCUUCCCUCUGGCGAGUCUGCCAGCAUGCUUCUCCAUCCUUUUUAUAUGUCCUUUGCUUCCCACUUCUGUGUACAUUCAACAUACUGUUCACGUAGUCAUGCAGUCUUUCUGCUUUUUGUGAAGCCUCAGAAUCUCCUCUGUUCUACUUGGCACCCCAAGCUAUGCCUGGUAUUGUAUUUCUGACUUGGCUCGAUAGUUCGGUGGUCUGGCAGUUUUUAUCUACCUUCAUUAUUAAAAGGCCCUCUGGAGCUGGGCGUGGUGGCUCACGCCUGUAAUCCCAGCACUGUGGGAGGCUGAGGUGGGCAGAUCACGAGGUCAGGAGAUCGAGACCAUCCUGGCUAACACGGUGAAACCCCGUCUUUACUAAAAAUACAAAAAAUUAGCCGGGCGUGGUGGCGGGUGCCUGUAGUCCCAGCUACUCGGGAGGCUGAGGCAGGAGAAUGGCGUGAACCUGGGAGGCAGAGCUUGCAGUGAGCCAAGAUCGUGCCACUACACUCCAGCCUGGGCGACAGAGCGAGACUCCAUCUCAAAAAAAAAAAAAAAAAAAGGCCCUCUGGGAUGUUGCCUCUCCAGGAGCUUUUUGGUAACCAACACUUCUCUCGGGAGUAUGAGAUCAUCCUCUGCACUCUUCUCUGUCAUCAAAGGGCUGCUGGGUGGAGAUAUUCUUGAAAGGUGGCCUUGGUGAGAGGUGUGGAGUCAAGUCUUUUAGGUUGCUUGCCCACGUCACUCUACCUCUGGCCUCUGAUUCUCAACUUUGUACCUAUGGGGCGUCUCUUGUUAGUGCAGUGUUGACUAUUCAAAAAGUAGCAAUAUGCCUGCAGAUUUGCUUAGUCUUGGGACACGGUUACCACCAGAACGGCUGCUCAGACAAUAUGCUUGGGGACUUUCUCAUGGCUUUUUGAACAAGGAGGCUGCGCACCCUGUGAAGCCUCCUGCAUUCACACCUCUGCUGCAUGGUUUAUGCCUCAGUGUUAUGUGCACUGGAAUGCUUUUCACUAUACGUUUCCAAGUUAGAAAGAUUAGUGUUAUGGAAGUGCCUAAUGUAUCCUAGUCCAAAAUAUUUAAAGAUUGUUCUCUGUGUCUUGAAGUUUUGCACAAAAUUCUUUAUGAAUUUUACACUUGGCAAAUGUUAAUGCUAGAAGCCAUAGUCCGCUUCUUAUACAAGUCCAAAGCGUUGACUGUUGUAUCAUUAGCUCCCUGGUUACACUGGUUUCCCAGCUCCUUGUGUAGACCACUGCUAAUCCCUUAGAAACAAGAGGUCUGGCACUAGUAGCACAACCUAAGGUGGCAUUCCAAGUCUUUAAGCAAGUCACAGCAACUUUUCUGCCAAAGUCAGCUUAGUUUAGACUUCAGUGAAUCAGGCUGUUGCCAUCCUAAUGUAUGUCUCUGUGAGUCUGUUCAUUCACAUAUCUGCCGUUGGCUGACUUUCUUGACUCGCUGCUUGCUUGCUUGUUUCCUUGCUUUGGAAAGCUAUUGAAGAUGUGUACAUAAUUCUUUAGGAAGGGGAUUGCUAAAAAAUACACUGCAAAGCGAUGGAAAACAGUGGAGAACAGGGGAGUAGCCAGGCUGGAUGGCUCAAAUAUAAAUGAAUGAGGAAUUCUUUAUGAAGUGUCAGUUGGACUUUGUGAUUGAGUGAUGUAAUACAGGAAUUAUAUAGAAAGGGAAGAAUAUCUGAUACUGAUCUGUUAGAUACUUCAGAGGCUCCUUGAUUUGCAUAUUUAAAGUUCCUAAAAUUGUAGCUUUUCCCUUCUUUUGGCUGUACAGCAGACUGUUUUAAUCCACGGUUGUGCCUUAUUGUUCCAUUAAAAUUGUGUCUUCAGUCCAUCAAUAAAUACUCGUGGUU